rnacentral:rRNA from 1 species
CCUACGGGAGGCAGCAGUGAGGAAUAUUGGUCAAUGGACGAGAGUCUGAACCAGCCAAGUAGCGUGAAGGAUGACUGCCCUAUGGGUUGUAAACUUCUUUUAUAUGGGAAUAAAAUGUUCCACGUGUGGGAUUUUGUAUGUACCAUAUGAAUAAGGAUCGGCUAACUCCGUGCCAGCAGCCGCGGUAAUACAGAGGAUCCGAGCGUUAUCCGGAUUUAUUGGGUUUAAAGGGAGCGUAGGUGGAUUGUUAAGUCAGUUGUGAAAGUUUGCGGCUCAACCGUAAAAUUGCAGUUGAAACUGGCAGUCUUGAGUACAGUAGAGGUGGGCGGAAGUCGUGGUGUAGCGGUGAAAUGCUUAGAUAUCACGAAGAACUCCGAUUGCGAAGGCAGUUCACUGGACUGCAACUGACACUGAGGCUCGAAAGUGUGGGUAUCAAACAGGAUUAGAUACCCCUGUAGUC